rnacentral:rRNA from 1 species
UACGUAGGUGGCAAGCGUUGUCCGGAAUUAUUGGGCGUAAAGCGCGCGCAGGUGGUUUCUUAAGUCUGAUGUGAAAGCCCCCGGCUCAACUGGGGAGGGUCACGCGAUACUGCUCGACUUGAAGGCAGGAGAGGGAAGUGGAAUUCCCGGUGUAGUGGUGAAAUGCGUAGAUAUCGGGAGGAACACCAGUGGCGAAGGCGACUUCCUGGCCUGUUCUUGACGCUGAGGCGCGAAAGCUAGGGUAGCAAACGGG